rnacentral:rRNA from 1 species
UACGGGGGGGAGCAAGCGUUGUUCGGAUUUACUGGGCGUAAAGGGCGCGUAGGCGGCCACCGCAAGUCGAUUGUGAAAUCUCCGGGCUUAACCCGGAAAGGUCAACCGAUCACUGCGGGGCUAGAGUGCCAGAAGGGGCAACUGGAAUUCUCGGUGUAGCGGUGAAAUGCGUAGAUAUCGAGAGGAACACCUGCGGCGAAGGCGGGUGCUGGGCUGACACUGACGCUGAAGUGCGAAAGCUAGGGGAGCGAACGGG